rnacentral:rRNA from 1 species
GACGAACGCUGGCGGCGUGCCUAAUACAUGCAAGUUGAGCGCUGAAGGUUGGUACUUGUACCAACUGGAUGAGCAGCGAACGGGUGAGUAACGCGUGGGGAAUCUGCCUUUGAGCGGGGGACAACAUUUGGAAACGAAUGCUAAUACCGUAUAAAAACUUUAAACACAAGUUUUAAGUUUGAAAGAUGCAAUUGCAUCACUCAAAGAUGAUCCCGCGUUGUAUUAGCUAGUUGGUGAGGUAAAGGCUCACCAAGGCGAUGAUACAUAGCCGACCUGAGAGGGUGAUCGGCCACAUUGGGACUGAGACACGGCCCAAACUCCUACGGGAGGCAGCAGUAGGGAAUCUUCGGCAAUGGACGAAAGUCUGACCGAGCAACGCCGCGUGAGUGAAGAAGGUUUUCGGAUCGUAAAACUCUGUUGGUAGAGAAGAACGUUGGUGAGAGUGGAAAGCUCAUCAAGUGACGGUAACUACCCAGAAAGGGACGGCUAACUACGUG